GGGACGGGGCGCUGAACCGUGAGGGGAAGAGGGAGCCAUUUCUCUCCACUGAGUGCCACCUCCGUGAUCCCAGCUCCCAUUUUCCCGGAAUCCGGAGGCCUCGUCAGCCAAGGCCUGCGCGAUGCUGGAUAUUUUCAUCCUGAUGUUCUUUGCCAUCAUAGGCUUGGUCGUUCUGUCCUACAUUAUCUAUCUGCUCUAGUCCUGCAGCGGCGGCCGGGAGGCGCUGACCGACUCCGGGGCAAGGAUGAAGCUACCCGCCCAGACACCCUGCUUGCUGACGCACCGGUGGAUUUUUGCUGCUGGUCGUUAUUUCGGCUCCUGGUCUCCAGUCCAACAAGAGGCCUCACCUCAACCUCUUCCAGAGUCCUCCGGAUACGGUUAACCCUGAUCAAGCUGAAAUCAGAGGCAGAGGCACUCGGCUGGGACAUCAGAAAUUCAUGAGCAUGGCUGACAGAUGCUACGUGGGUUUGAGCUGUAGAUAGAGGGUGUUGGAAAUGCAGGGAGCGGAAAUGUAGACUCGUUAACAUUAAAAUGUAGACUGCUCAAAACUUCAUUUUUAUAGCCUUUCCUGAGUCUGAAUGCAAUGCAUAUUGUGCUCAACGUUUUUCCUCUCACUUGCAGGAUGCCCUUGAAAGUUCAGGAGCAUGUUGUGGGUCUUCAUCAACGAAGUUGUCACGUUAGAGACUGCACAAUCUGAGGUUGUGUGGUUUCCCUUGUCCCUCUCUAGCCAGAAGAAACUUGUCAUUUGACUUGCAAAGAUUCAUCUUAGCUCCCCACUUGUGCCCCAGCUUCUCAUUUAAAGGCAGAGACAGUUUAUAUAGUACUCACUUUAUGUCUGAUGGUUUUAUAAAUUAUUAAAAUGAUGGCAAUACUAUUUGAAUGAAAAAUAUCUCUUACCCUGUGAAUGUUUUUUUAUAUUGCCAAACAUUCCUUUUCUGAAAACAAAAACUCCCAAAAUGUUUUUUUGUUUUUUGUCCAAUUAGGAAUGCGAAAACCAUAUAUUUUGGGGUCCAGAGUAGAAUUAGGGUCCAAAUCUGUGGUAUCUAUUCCUUCAAGAAGCCCACAUUAAUUGUUCUACAUCUGAUUUUCCUUUGUAACUUAAAAAUAAGCAAGAACCUAUAACUAGUUUUUAUUUAUAACAUUGUGUUGAAUUUCCAUGUUUUAAAAAGAAAAUUGAGGCAGUAAGAUAUAUGCAACAACUAAAAUGGGAAACUUGCAUUUAAAAUUUUUGGUUAAAAAAACUGUUCUAAAAGUUUUGUGUCUUGGCAAUAAAUUAUGUGACCUUUAAUAAGUUA